CCCAAGACACUUUAACCUUUAUCCACUAGUUUAAAGUACCCUUUCUGACUCAAAGAAUCAUAAACUAUUAGAGCUGGAAGAGAAUUUAGAGAGCAAAGGAUCAUGGCCAAGCCAACGAGUAUUUAUCAAGCUCGUACUCUAUGCCAGCCAUUAUGCUAAGCUCUGGGGAUACAAAGAAAGGCAAAAACAGCCUCUGACCUCAAGCAGAUCUCAUUCUGGUGGGGGAGAUGACACAUAAACUACUCUGUACAUGUACACCGGGUAAGAUGGAGGCCACCUCAACGGGAAGACAGUAGCAACAGGAGAAGGACCAGAAAAGUUCUCUUGCAGAAGGCAGAAGUAACAGAGGGGCAGGCACUGGCCAGAAGGUUAAAAUGGAAGAGAAGAAAGAGGAUGAGCAAGGUCUCCCCCUCCCACCCCUGCCAUGGAGCCUGGAUUGACUCUCUUCUAUAACCUCCCAUAGCUUCUAUUUUAUGUGGGACCAAAGGAUCACAUACUUGGAGACCAUCUGGUCCUUUUACAGGAGCAGAGAGAAUCUUAUCAUGAGUACAAUCGACCCCAAUCCACACGGCGUAGCUUUGUAUCCAUGAUCUGUGUCCACCCUGGAGAGGAGAAGGCUACAGGUCACUGUGGGGUGAGAAGUUUGCCCAGAUCAGUUUUAGAGGAUCCAGAAGUCAUGUAUAUGGGAACACAUGAGAGCCCCCUAAAUUCUACGCAUUGUAUGGAAGACACUUGUGUGUCCCAUUACCUUUCAUUUUCACCUGUGCCUGUGGCAGAGGUUUUCUCAUUGCCCCUGGCUGCUGGUAUCUCUCCCUCCCCAAACUACCCUAGAUUAAGUUUGUGUAUAUACUAUAUCUUCCUAUACAGUUAGCACUUUACAUAAUUUGACUUUUCUUAAAGAAUUCUGAAAGAAAUCCACAUUCCAUAAAAAGUCCCUUUGUUAACUUUACCCUACAGUACUCUGCUGUCUCUCUCUCUCCCAACUCCUGCCUGUUGCUGUGGGUGCUCUGUGGCCUCUCUCUCCCUCCUCCACCAAAAACAAAAAGCCCCCUAAAAAUGAAACCCUCCAAGAGAAAGCAGAAGUACAGAGGUAUGAGAGACCCCCCCUCUUCCCCCACUCCAGUGCUGUGGUGGGAUGGAGGAGUUGGCUUGAGACCUCCUGUGCUGAGAGAGAAGACCUUGGCCUGUCUUGCCCAUCUGCCCUCCUGUUUGUCUUCCCUCCAGAACAGCAUGUCUGUCCUCUCCUGUCUGUGUCCAUCUGACCCCCACAUUUCUCCCAACCCCCACUCCCUGUUCUUCCUGUAGGUUCUGGCCCUGCUCCCUCCUUGUUCUUGCUUCUCUGUCCUUGUCCUCGAGCUAUGUGCUAGCCAAUUCCUUCCAUGGGAGGGAGCCCCAUUUGCAGUCCUCUUUCUGCCUCCAUCCCUCCCUUCCCCAAGUCCCAGGCAAAUUCACAUUACUGUCAACCAAUCCACUCACAUAAAGAGAACUGUCUAUAUGUGUACAUGUGAUUUGCUCUGUUAGAG